GAUUAUGUUUGCCAGCUGUGGUUAUUUUCCAGGCGUUAUGGAUUCCAUAUUUUGGGAGUUUUUGUAUGUUCUGCCCAACACCCAUUCUUAGCCUUUUCCAGGAUGUGUGGGAUUGUGAAUAAUUUUGACUUCAAACAGUAGAAAACAAGAAAGUUCUUGUCAUAAGUAGAAUUUUCAGAUGUAUUCAGGAUGGGGUGUAGGCAGUCUUUCAAAUAUGUUUUCUGUUUAGCAGUAGUGAUACAGGUAAAAAAGUAGGGUUGUUCUUCAGUCAGUGGUCUGAAGCGAGUCUGAAGCCUUUUUUCAAUAGGUAUAUAUAUAAGUGUAAUAAAUCAAAAGCAGCUGGAUGCAAUAAAAUAAAUUAACCCAUUACGUAGGUACAUUAAUAUUAAGUAAACAAAUGAAGUGCAGCUCAAGCAGCCAAAUCAUAACCUAAAAUUAAGCUAAAAAAUAGCUAUAAAUCACAAAAAAACUAAAAAAAAAUAUAUUUGCAUUAUAAACAACUCGUUCUUGAAUUUUUAUACUCAAAAAAAAAUUGCUUG